AGAGGGUAGCGUCCGAGUAAGACCCAACAGCCAGUGACUGAUUGGCUAGAAUCCUCUUCAAGCAAGGCUUGGCCCUAAAGAAGGUUCAAAAGAAGAGGCUGUUCUAAGAAAGACUACCGAGUAAUCAAUCACCUCCUCAGAGAAAGUCUGCUCAGAGAUACGAGAAACACACUGUUUCUAUCUACAGCGAGAAGAGGUCCUGUCACCUUGUCUGCAGGCCAGUUCCAGCAGGAAUUAGGAAAGCCAUCACUCCACAAGUCUCCAGGAGUCUCUGGGAUCUUCAUCCAUGGGCUAAAGGAGAGCUGCAGAAGAAUCCAACAUCCCAGCCUUCUGCAAUUAGGCAAGAGGUAUUUUUCCUGAGGACCACAUACCCUAAAAGAGCCUGUCUCAAAGACAUAAGGGACCAGCUCUGUGAACAUGGCAAGUAAUAACAGACAGAAAACGUGAGGAGAAAGUAGAGACCGGGAUUUUGAAAUUCUGUUUCCUGAAUGCCGUCUUACCAGGCACACGAAAGAAUAAAAUUAAGGAAUCGAGCCAAGUACCUUCUUUCAAAAGCUAAAGUCGUCUGGGGCAACUCUGCUUUCAUCGCUAACCCCUGCUAAUUUCUCCAGCUAUGGUAGUAUUGCUCUCCCUCUAUGGGAUCUAAAACAUGCCCUGUCCUUUUCAGGUUUUAAACCCCAGACCCAGCUGCAAACAGUCUUUUCAUGUUAGAUGCGUUGCUUCACAACUCUGAGUCACAGGCAUCUUCUCUCUCAGAUGAGGGUUAUGCCACAGGACCCAAGUUCCUCACUGGGGAUGAUGUGAGGACUAAAUCCAGGGAUAUUUCACAGCAGGGCCUCUGGAUAAACUGCUUUACGUUGGAGGCUGUUCAUUUUCACUGGUUUACGCAGUAAAAGCCAUGCCUUGCUGUCUGCCUCAUUCCUUUCUCCAGCUGCAGAAGGGUCUUGCUAAAACACAGAUUUCAUUACUCAUCUUCCAACAAUCCCUGACCAUCCUCUGGAUGAAGUUUAGCCUCCUAAGCCUGACACAGAAGACCCUUCAUGAUCUAGCCCUUUGUUUGUAUCUGUGGCUUCAUUUCUUGCUACUCUCCUUCCUUAUCAUCAUUAUCUCCCCAAACUUGCUGUUUUUUUCUUUUGACCUUUAAAGCCUUUAGAUGUACUAUUCCCUCUCCUUGGAAUAUCAAGAGUCUUCUGUUACAGUUUGGGUAUCACUUCCUUGAUGAUACGCUGACUGCAGUUGCAGGCUGGGUGCCUAACUUCUGUAUUCCAUCCUUAUUCCCAGCAUUGGGCAACUCUCUAGCAAUCACCAUUUGGCCUGCCUGCACCCUCCACUACAUUACUGUCUCUUAGAGUACACCACAGUCCCUGGCAAACGGCGGGCACUCAGUAUAAAUUGGCUGAAUCACAUCAGAUUUUUUCUUCACGUGUAACCUUCUUAUCCCUUUAUCUCCCUCCCCUCUCUCUGUCUUUCCCUUUGCUAUAGCCUUACUCCUGAGCAGUAAAUUUAAUCUUUUUCCAACACCGCCUGCAUCAGUUAAGCCUCUGAAGGAGUCCGAUAUUACGGGGCUUACAGUUAGGAGGUCCUACCUUCUUUGGGUGCAGGAGAGGAGCAGUUCUCCCCACUCUCCACCCUACACACAUCAGAGAACAGGAACUCGCUUGCCAAACUCUCGCCGGUUUCUGGGAGA